GAGAGUAUGGUUUGUUGUAUCACCGGCAAUGCGUGUAGCGUCUCUACACGUCCUAGAAAUUUCUCGUGUGGCGAAAAGGGGCCCUCAUAUUGAGGUGAUCUCUAUUUCUGAUUCCUAUAAAAAUGCUGAUGCGUUAAUGGUGAAAGAAUUGGGAUAUAAGAAAGAAGGAAGCAGAGAUGCUAAUUUCCAAAAGAAUAACAGUUCACUAAGAAGCACAGUACUGAAAAGAAAUAAGAUCGAUAUUGCAGUCAUUGUAAUGGGAAGGGGCACAACCAGGAUACCUGCUUCAAACUUCAUGGAUACUCAGAUUAGUACAAAGAGCUCAGGCAAAAACACACUGGGCAACAAAACCAGGCUCCAAUAGUUCAAGCAACACAAGCUCGUGACAUCCCAAUGGAUGUAGAAGUAAUAGA
rnacentral:misc_RNA from 1 species